rnacentral:rRNA from 1 species
CGGGUGAGUAACACGUGAGUAACCUGCCUUUCAGAGUGGAAUAACGUUUGGAAACGAACGCUAAUACCGCAUAACAUGAGAGAACGGCAUCGUUCUUUCAUCAAAGAUUUUAUCGCUGAGAGAUGGGCUCGCGGCCGAUUAGGUAGUUGGUGAGAUAACAGCCCACCAAGCCGACGAUCGGUAGCCGGACUGAGAGGUUGAACGGCCACAUUGGGACUGAGACACGGCCCAG